rnacentral:rRNA from 1 species
GUCUAUGGCCAUACCACCCUGAACGCACCUGAUCUUGUCUAAUCUCAGAAGCUAAGCAGGGGCAGGCCUGGUUAGCACUUGGAUGGGAGAAAUCUGAUUCUUGACCUAAAAGGUAGCCCAUGGUUU